GCAUGGUCCCUCUUUCACGUGGUAAACAGCAGCCGGGUACCAUCCACUGCAUCCAUGACAAACCACCGUCCCGCUCCACGCCAUUGAUGUUACGUUCUAAAACAGUUCGGUUGUCGAUGGUCAGUGAUCAUGACACAAAGGGUUGGCAUUCUCGUAACAGCGACGAUUUGCGGGACAGUUGUUAAGGACCGCCCUUAGAAAAAUGCUCCUCGUUCCUUCAUCCUUGUCUACACCCACCGUUACACAAGUAUCGGAUUCUGCAGCUGGCAUACAAUAUUGACCGACCGUUUUUGAAGAUACAUCGGCUGCACAUGCCGAGUCAUAUUAACAGGCUGCUUAAGGUGCAUCAAGAUCGCAUCCGAAUUCUUGACGCUUCUUAUCUCGUCGACUAUACUCCUCUGCUGAUGUGGUCCAUCGACCUGCAGGAACAUGGUCGAGCUCAAGUAGAAUAAAUAAAAAUGUGCAACGAACAUUGAUCAGUCCUAAGCGUUUGAGUACAAUAACCGAGAUAUCUAAUUAGUCUUUGGGUCUGGCAUAUUGUUACCCUCAUAAGUAGCUUCCGUCCGGCUUGCACAUCGAGUGAAGCGACCAGCCUGCCCAUCGCGCUUCAGUCAGCUCGCGCUGUCCAGCACCAAAUGCAGUAACUAACCGGAGAAAUUCAAAGAGCGAAACUACAGCGAUCAGAUUUCAAACAAGUCAGCAAUUACUCGGAGGUCAUAGACAGCGGAAUUCCAACACAGGGUACGAGUUGGAUGUAGUAUAUUUUAAAGUAGGUAGGUGUUACCGCGAGCCUCCGAGAGAGUAGAAUUUUGCGUAAUAUCACAGCGUGAUAUUUGUGCAUGCCAUUAGUAAUUUGACGCUGUGUCUUAAUAAAGCAAUACUAACAGGCUGCAUACUCUUAAUAAAAACCUAAGACGUAUACAUAUUUCGGAUACGUCGGAAUAUUUGUCAACUUCAAAUUGUACAUUACACGAUUAUUUUUAAUAUUUUUCGAGAUACAUGACGCUUCUACCUCGACGGCAGAUCGUACAGCGCGGCAAUGUACAAAAUAUGAGGCUAACAGCAGCGCAUGGUGGUGCUCAUGAAGGCGAAUGGAACAAUUUCGAAUGUGAAGAGUCAACUUAUUGGUACUGGAGAAGCAGGCUAAGAACGUUCAAGUGAUGGUGAGAAUUCCGCCUGUCGAUACGAAUAGGGAAACCACAGCAUCCAGAGAAUGACGAAUUGUGAGAGUGAAUUAUUGAUAUAGAUACUAAUGAAUCCAAUGUAAUUGUCAAGUGAUUUGAUUUCUAUGUGAAUCUUGU
rnacentral:lncRNA from 1 species